AAACAUCUCCUGGGUAUAAGACUUUGGUGAACAAACGAUUGGGGUUGGAUGUGACAAAGCCAACAUAAAGGGUGCCCUCCACAACUACAAGGAUCUCCGUGGCACGAGGGUGAGUGUGGGGAGGGUUUAAGCCACCAUUAGGAGCAAAGUCUAACCGAGCGAGAGAAAUACCAAGAGUAUUAAGUCCUGGUAUUUUGUCAACGUUUACGAGGGUGACAUUUGAUCCAACUCGGUUUCCUGUAAAUGCAGGAAUAUUGAGUCCCGAAAUAGAGAAAUCACCAGCUACAGUGAGAUUUGGAUUCUUGCAGAACUUCCCAUUAACAAACACUGCAUUAAUAUAUAAAAAGUUAGUAUCAGUAUCCAUUAGACAUGAAAAUAACAAAAUAAGAAAAAAGAUUAAUAUUGUGAUGUCUACCAGCAUUCUUAGGUUCAGGAAUUGCAACACAGAAGUCCUGGAGAGGGCUAGGGUCAAAGGCGGAGGCAAAAGAGAAAGCCACAGCCAAAGCUAAUAAGGCAAGGAAAUGAAAGGCCUUCAUUUUAGGACUGCUUGAUUUCUCUAGCCUUUUGUUGUUGAGCUGAAGGUGUGAAAAAUCUUGCAGCAACGGAUGAGUAUUUAUAGGUGAAGCUCUCUCAGCUAUUCUCAAGGGUUAGCUGUUUUUUAUUUCACCAAACCACGAAUUAAUUUUCAAUGUCAACUUGGACCGCUUCAAAUCGUUCGAGUUUACGUGAGUUUUGAAGUUUUCAUUUUCACCUCCUAUAGUUUUAUUUAUUUUUCUCUUCCCCUUUGUUUUUUUGGUUUAAUGGAGAGUUAGUGUUUGGGAAUUUGUACAGCUAAAUUGUUUACAAGGGAUUUGAUGGCUGCUAAAAAAGUUAUUUUUUAAUCUAACAAUAAUAUUAGGUAUGUACAAUAUAAUAAGGGAAAGUGAUGGAAUUUGAAAGAGUUUAAUUAGUUGGUUAUCCUUUUAAAACUAUGUAUUGAACAAGUCCUUUGUGGAGACAUGGUAAAAAGAUUGUACAACUGAAUAGAAACAUAUAUAGUAUAACAUCCCAUUUUAUGAAAUCAAAAUUUUCCCAUUUGCUUGAUAAAGUAUACAUUUUUUAAUUUAUUUUACUCUUCCCUCUGUUUUUUGGUUUAAUGGAGAGUUAGGGUUUGAGAAUUUGUACUGCUAAAAAUUGUUUAUAAGAAAUAUUAAUUGUUAUUUUUGAAAUAAAAUAAUUUUAAAAUUUUUAAGUAUUUAAUUUUGCUUAUCAUAAUAAUUAAUAAAUAUAAUAUAAUAGCAUAGUCUUAUGACUAAUGGCUUCUAAAAACUUAUUUUUUAAAUUUACGUAUAAUCCAAUCUCCGACUUAUUUAGUGGUUCUCGUGAAGACUUAAUAACAUAAUGGCCUUAUUUUACAGAAAAAAAAAAUCCAUUGUUUUCACUGUGAAAAUCCAUUGUUUUCAUUAUGACCUCUUCUCAUGACUAAGUACAAGCAAGCGGAUUUUAAUUUUUUUACUUGGUCUUGUUUCAAAGAUUAAGUCAAUAUUUAUUUGUCAAAUUAUAAAGAAUUCAUAUAGUCAUAGAUAUAUAUAUCCAUUUAAUAAAUGGAAAAAAGAAAUAUUGCAGAAAAUUAGUGCAAGUCAUUUACAGAUUUAUAUUAAUCUACAUUGCUUUUUAACCCAGAAGGAGAAAAGUUUCAUUUAGUGUGUUAAAAUUGUGGCCUAGCGUAGAACUAAUCAAAGAUACUGAAAAUUAAUUCAAACAUUAAGAGAAACAAAAGAAAGAUGACCUAGCGUAGAUAGUGAUUUAUAUUUUUGUUUUGAAUUGCAUAUUGCAUUACAAGUCAAGACUCAAGAUUCUUGGAGACAAUUAAGCUCCCAUGCAUGCAAAAUAUUGCCCUUUCUGAACACAACCAGCCAGCCAAUAUAGUUUCAGUGAGGCAAAAAGCUCCAAAGGGAACUCUUAAAUGCAAUAGUAAUGUGGCUAAGGAAGAAGGAGAUUCGCAGGCAACUGUAGCAGUUAUAAUCCAAGCCACUCAAUUAGCUUAAGGUAUGGGGGACACUUUUACUAAAACAUCCCAUGUCAAUUUUUUAAAAAAAUUUGAAAUUGUAUAUGUAACGACCCGAAAAUCGGACCGCUACCGGUGCUAGGAUCCAGGUCGGCUUAAGGCCGCCGAGACCCGUAGCAAGCCUGACAUACAACCUGUAAACCUGUUUAAUCCCAUACAUGAUCAAGAACAUACAUAAAAAUUUGAACUUUUCUUUACAUUCAUUCAUUCACCAAAUUCAACCUGUGCAUGCACUAUACAUAACAUGAUUAUAAACAUUUAACUUCUCUGUGGAGUCCCAACAGUGCCCCAAUGGGGUGACAUUUAUAUAUAUAGAGUUUGGUUACAAAAGCAUCAUAAAACGUAGAUCAUGUUUAUAAAAGGGAUUACUAUACAAACUCGGUCAAGCACAACUUCUAAACCUCAAUCUCAUAAUCAACAUAUACAUGACAUAACUAUUCAUAACUUUUACAUCAUUAUACAAUUUAUCAUGUCCACAUUCUAUUUAUUACAACUCAAGACUUCAUUCACCUUGACUUCUCUGUCUAGCCUGUAUCUGCAACCCUGGGGGAUUAGGGAAAAUGGGUGAGCUACUAGAGCCCAGUGAGCAGAAUAAUAAAACAUUUAAAUCAUAUGCUAUAAUGGAAUGCAACACGUCACAGACAAAUCACAUCACGGAUGGUAUUGUCACCAAGAGUCCUCUACAUUCCAAAGUGCCGGGACGUAGAAUGGGUCAACCGGUCUUUCUCUUAAUAUAACAUAACAUAACAUAGCAUUCCAAUGUGCCAGGGACGUAGAAUGGGUACAACCUGGACUUUCUCUUACAUCGUGCCAGGGACAUAGAAUGGGUACAACCUGGACUUUCGUACUAUACCGUAUCAUAUCACAUCGCAUCAUAUCGAGGACUAAGGAUCAUCCAAUAACCAUCCACAUCAUCAUCAAAAUUAUGCAAUGCAACAUAUUCGUGAAUUCUAAUGCAACAACCUAAAUCAUCACAUGGCAUUCAUGAUGCAUGAGCAUGCUCAAACCGUAUAAUUUAUUUGCUUUAAAACAUAAAGGUUUAUUCUACUCACCUCAACUAGCUCUGACAAAGACUGAAGCAGCUGACUCACUGCUGGGGUCCUCGGUUUCUCGGGUUCGAACCUACACAGGUGGACUCAAAUGAGGGACCAAACAACUAGAACAUAACUCUAAAAACAUCCCCUAAAAACCCUCUAAAACACCUCAAAACAUCCAUGCAAAAACAUACAAAGGAAGGCUGAACAGGGCACUUUCGGCGGCAGGUUCGGCGGCCGAAAGUCCCUCCAGAGCCGAAAGUCAGGCAGGUUCGGUGGCACCUUCGGCGGUCGAAACUCCCAGACAGAGACGAAACUCAUGCAUGCUCGGCGGCACUUUCGGCGGCCGAAACUGCCCUCCAGAGACGAAAGUCCUCUUUCGGAGGCAGGCUCCGGCAGCUGAAAGGCUGGCCUCCCAGGCAGGUUCGGCGGCCGAAAGUCCUUCGACUGCCGAACCUGGUUUCUGCCAAAGGGCAGAAACUUGGUUCCUCAUGCACAUUUGUCUUCCAAAACCAUCCAAACAUGCAUUUUUCCUAAUCUACAACAUACAUACUCAAGCAUACAAGUUCCUAGGGGCUUCAAACUAUCUUAAACCCCAUCUACAACACAUCAAACAUCCACAUUGUCCAAAAACAUAACAUGAACCCAUAAACCUAACCAUAAGCUAAAUAUGCAUUCUACCCCAUAGAUCUACUUAAAACUUACUUAAAACAUGCUAUAAGCUCAAGAUCGGCCCUUACCUCUUGAAGAUCGAGAGGAGAACGACCCUAGCUCGGAAAAUGGGAGAGAGAAAGUUCCUUGAACCUUCAAGCUCCAAAACUUGCUCAAAUGCUCAAAACCUUCAAAACAAAGUUGUAACUCAUAAAAGUCAUGAAGAAUGGAAGGAAGAAACUCAAGAUCGGUGAGGGACGGCGGAGAGCUCACCUUGGCCGAAAAUGGGGAGAAAAACUCGCCCGUUUUCGGCUAAGGGACCCUUUUAUAGGUGGCUGGCCAUGCCACAUUCGGGAGCCGAACGUGCCUCCGCAACGCAUGCAAGUUCGGCGGCCGAACAUGAGGUUCGGCGGCCGAACCUGGACUUCCCUCACUUAUGAUUUCGGGGGCCUAAGGCACACCCGAAGCGCAUGCAUGUUCGGCGGCCGAACCUGAUUUUUCCUCCAAGGUUGUUUUCAUGCAAAAACUCAUUUCCUUUUUACUUAAAAUCAUGAAAUACAUUAAAACAUUUUAUGAAAACAUGUUUCUACCCUACUAGAGGCUUCCGACAUCCGAGAUUCCACCGGACGGUAGGAAUUCCGAUACCGGAACCUAGCCGGGUAUUACAGUAUAUAUAAACGGGUUAAAAACAAUUAAAUAAUUUAGAUUAAAAAUUUUAAACUACCUAAAAAAUAGGUUGAAUGGAGUUAAUGAGUCUACGAAAAAAUGACCGAAUUAAUAAUCUAUAAGAAAAUGACUGUCUAUAUCUAUGUGAGACGAGAGGGAGCUGAACUAGGAACCACAAUAUUUAAUUCGCUUUAUGCAUUCUCAAACAGUUUCUGAAAUUGCUAAAAAGAAAGUGUAAGCAUGUACAUCUUACCAUCCUUCCUUUUGUAUUAAUUUUCAAUGUCGAUUUGGACCGCUUCAAAUGGUCAUAAAGUUUUCUUUUUCACCCCUGGAGUUUUAUUUAUUUUUUAAUUUAUUUUCUCUUCCCCUAUAUUUUUUUGGUUUAAUGGAGAGUUAGGAUCUGGGAAUUUCUACUGCUAAAUUGUUUACAAGGAAUAUUAAUUACUGUUCUUGAAAUAAAAUAACUUAAAAAUUUUCAAGUAUCUAAUUCUGUUUAUCAUAAUAAUUAAUAAAUAUCAUAUAAUAGCAUAGUUUUACGAUUGGUGGUCGCUAAAAUUUAUUUUUUAAACUUAGCAUAUGAUUCAAUUUAAGACUUUUUUAUUUUCUGUGGAAACAUGGUAAUAGGAUGGCCUUAUUCUAAUAAUUUUACAAUUGAAUGGAGAACAUAUAUAGUAUAACAUCCCAUUUUAUAAAAUCAAAAAUUUUCUCAUUUACUCGCUAAACUAUACAUAUAGCGAACAUGAUGAAAAAUAACUUAUUAUUAUGAAUCUCAUAAUUAUUUUAUUUACGAAAAUAAAUUUAUUAUAUUUUUAUUUAUUUCUCUUAAAUUAUAGAUAAAAAAGUAAAAUUUAUUUGUUUUAAAAGAUAAUAUAGUAAUUAAACAAUAUAAUUAUAAAACACAAUAUAAAAUUUAUUGCUUUCACUAUAUUAAUUUAAAAAUAAUUAAAAAUCUUAUAUUGUGCUGCUUAUAUAUAUUUUGCAUUAUAUAUGUAGUGGGCGUAUAAAGGAAACCAAUCUUAUUUAAAAAGGGGAAAAAAAAAGGCAACUCAAUAAUUUCCAAGAAGUGGUUGGGUCAGACAAUGGCACAAUAGUCUGAGAUGAGUUGGUGAUUUGAAUGGUUCAAGCUUGGCCAUGGAGACUCAGCAGAUAUAUAACCCAGAUAGUAACUCUACAGUGGCGUCUGAAAUGGUAAGAUUUUGGAGUUUGAAUCUUAAUUUAAAUUUAAUUAAAAAACAGACAAUGUCUAAUUUCAUUCGGUUGGACAAAUGUCUACAUCUUAUGUUAGUUAAUAAUGCCUGCUCGACAAUGUCUCUUAUUAUUAUUAUUAUUAUUUUUAUUUUAAUUGAUUAAGAUAUUCUGCUAUAUCUUUUCAUAUUUUAAUAGAAGCAGAAGGUCUUAUAAAUAUUUUUAUAAUUUGCAACAACUAUCCAAUCAAGUUUCUUACUGGAUUCUAACCAAGAAGCCCAUGUUCCAUUUUCCACGUCUGCAGCAUUUAAUUAACUUUUUUUAUAUAUAUAUAUAUAUAUGUUAUGUUAAGCUUAUCACAUAUUAUUAAUAAACUAUGUAAAAAAAUGGAAAAGAGGGAAGCUUCAAGGUUUACCAUGCUACCAAGCAAUUACUAAUAUAGAGUUGUAACCUCUAAAUUCAUACAAUUCACAUUAUUAAUAAGAGAUUCAUACAUAAGGAAUGUGUAUAUGUUUAUACACAAGGAAGAGAAAUUUUAUAAGCCAUUAGGACUCGCUACGGAUGCAGAUGAUGCGGAAACAUUGCCGCAGGAAUCCAAUUCAACAAUAGCAGGCUAGCUAUAGAUUGGGUAAAGACUCACUACGUAACGAAGCCAUUAGGACCAGAAAUUCCCUAGACACCACUAUAGGAAGAACACUUAGGCUGCUGAUAAUUGAAUUAAUAGUAGAUAAAAAACGUUUUGUAAUCUCAAGUUUUUUUUUUUUUUUUUUUUAGCAAUAUGAAGCAGAUAAACAAAACGGUUAAACUUAAAUAAGAAUAAAAUGAAUCUUUGAGCCUUAGAUAAUCUGAUUCGAUUGUUAGUAUUGAUUUAAUAAUUCUUUCUCUCUUAUUAUUAUUUUUUUAAGUGUUUCGGCCAAUAUUUCAAGUAAACGAACAGGUAGAGAAGGCAUACCCAAAAGUCUCUUUAUUGAAUUAUUAUAAAACCACCUUGAAUGCACACAUUUGCAUAUAAUUAGAAUAUGCUUGCUCAAUUAUUGGAGACAAGUGCAUGAAACAUAACUAAACAUUAUUUUAAAACAAUGAGCAGCAUUGACUUCAAAUGGUUGUUUUAUGUGGUCGCAAACAGUUUCUGCAGUUUUUCUACUGUAUAAUUAUCCAAUUGGAAAGCCUUAGCUAGAACAUCAGGAUUAAUGGGUGGAUUAGGCCCGAAGAUUGCAUUUGCUAUGGUGAUGACGCCUGGGUUUUGGCUGCUUAAACCUGCAAACGCAACUGCAUUCGUCUUUGCAAUAUUAAAUUGAAAGUGGAUGAGACCAAUUGGGAAGACAAAAACAUCUCCUGGGUAUAAAACUUUGGUGAAUAAGCGAUUGGGGUUGGAUGUGACAAAGCCAACAUAAAGAGUGCCUUCCACCACUACAAGGAUUUCUGUGGCACGAGGGUGAAUGUGGGGAGGAUUUAAGCCACCAUAGGGAGCAAAGUCUAACCGAGCAAGGGAAAUACCAAGAGUAUUAAGUCCUGGAAUUUUGUCAACGUUUAUGAGGGUGACAUUUGAUCCAACUCGGUUUCCUGUAAAUGCUGGAAUAUUGAGUCCCGAAAUAGAGAAAUCACCAGCUACAGUAAGAUUUGGGUUCUUGCAGAACUUCCCAUUAACAAACACUGCAUUAAUAUGUAAAAAGUUAGUAUUAGUAUCCAUUGGACUUGCAAAUAACAAAAUAAGAAAAAAGAUUAAUAUUUUGAUGUAUACCAGCAUUCUUAGGUUCAGGAAUUGCAACACAAAAGUCCUGGAGAGGGCUAGGGUCAGAAGCUGAGGCAAAAGAGAAAGCCAAAGCCAAAGCCAAUGGGAGAAGGAAAUGAAAGGCCUUCAUUUUAUGAGAACUUUCUGUAGCUAGGCUUUAGUUGUUGAGCUGAAGGUGUGAAAAAUCUUGAAAGAAUAGAUGAGUAUUUAUAGAGAAAGCCUCUCGAAUGGUCGCCUAUUUUCUAUUUCAUCAAUUCUUCUAUAAGAUGCUUGUUGAAUGAUCAACUGUUUGUAAUCAUUACAUCAUCCCUCCUGGACUGGUUCAACACUAAAAACUCUUUCAAGCUUAUGUUAGUUUUAUUUUAUUUUAUAUUUAAUGAAGGAAAAUAAAAGCAAAAAAACUAAACAUGAUCAAGGCUGGUUCAACACUGCUUUUGGCUUAAAAGAGAGAGAGAGAGAUCUUUAGGGAUUUGUAUGAUAAUGUUUUAAAGCUGAAAUUGGAAAUUAAAACUUAAGCUACAAAACAGUUAGUUAAAUAACUUUAUAAAAAAAUUAUCUAAUUACUUAUUUUAUUAAAUACUAUUAAUUAGUGUAAUUGUAUUAAGAGGUAGUUGUUGCAUUAAGAAAUUCUUGCAUUAUGAUCAAGCACAGCAGUCCAGUCUAAUGGCGAUGGAAAUUAAAUUAUUAAAAGUGAAGUCACUGGAAUCAAUACCGAAUAUCCAAGAUUUGUUGCCUUUCUAUUAUGGACUCCUAAUCCUGAAAUGGAUGGGAUAACUUGAGCUGACUUUAUAUUUUAGCAUUGGACUUAACAACUCAUUACUUUAUAUUACAACUAGGAUUAGGAUUAGGAUUAGGAUAUAUAUAAGGACAAUAAUGAACCCUUAAUUAAUCAUAAUUAUUUAUUCAUAAAUGAAAUUUUCAAACUGUUGUGUGUGAAUUUUAUUGGGUCUCUCAAGCUUAGGGCUUCUAUUGUCCUAUCAAAAAUUCAAUGUCCCCAAAUUAUAAAUAAAAAAUCACAAAGUUGACGGUUUAACAGAAGAUUAUAUAUAUAUAUCCAAUAGCACCUAAUUCAGAAUUUUUUUCUUACUUGACCAAAUUCAGAACUUAAUUUGGACAUAUUAUAUAUAUAAAAACUUACGUGUUCCCCUACUUAUUUAAGGCAUAAAUUGUUGAAUAUAAUUAAUAAAGUUAAAUGAUUAGCUUUCGAUCCCACAUUUAAAAUUUAUGAGAGAAUAUGAAAAGAUAUGUUUGUUGAUCUCAAAAAAAUGUGUUUAUUAUUAAAAAGUGUGUCUAUUAUCUUAAUAAUUAUUAUGAACAAUUAUGUCCCAAAAAUAUAUUUGUUGAUUUGAUAACUAUUAAUCCUUCUUCUGCACUUUCUAAUAUCAUUGCAUGACCCGUGUUAAUUUCCAGUCGAUAUCCUUAAAAGUCUCUUCCGACGACUACUCCUCUUCCUCCAACUUUGCCUUUUUCUUAGACUAUAUUUGAAUUGUCUCUUUCCGAGUCCUUGGAUAUCGAUAAAAACUUCCUCCCUUAUCUUGGAAGCCAUUAAUGAGGCAUCUUCUCAAAUUUUAUACUGCUCGAGAGUAGUCUGCAACCUCUUAAUGUAUUGGAGUAUUUGCUCGUUAUUCAAAUUGUUAAGAUCUAUCUUGUUGACCACAGAGAGUGUGUUUUGUCCACUGUUAGGAGUGAAAAAAAUGAUAACAUCUUUGUUGGUAGCAGCUUUAGAAAUAGCUCGUGAAUUGUCAGCUAUCUCGAGAAAGGAAGAAAUGAAAGAUUUCUUUUUAAGAGAAAGGAAAUAAGAGGCUAGUUUUAAUUCAAAUGAACAAAGAUAAUUCAAUAGAUUUUCCGGCAAUAGAAUCAAAUGAUAUGGCCGAAAUGAAGUUGUGCCGUGAUUGGUCAAUCCUGCAAAAAAGAGAAUGUGAGUUGGUUGGCACCUAUGGCAACCACUCCAACUGAUAAGGGAUUAUUAGCUUUUAUACUGUAAGAAAAUGAAAUUAAUUAUGAUAAUCUCCUAAAAAUUCGGUUGGUAUCGGCUAAUUAAUAUGGUAUUUGUAAUUAUAAGCAUAAUGAGAAUCUGCUGGAUAGUAGCCGUUAACGGUAACUUUCCAUAAAGUCUCUUCUUAUAGUUGAGAGGGCGAGUUUUGACGAAGAGCUGAGUCCUGAAGCGUCUGAAUUUUCUUUUCCUUUGAUGGGACUAAGUAUCACCUUAUCAGACUCUUACCAUGUAGCCCUGUCUUCGAAUGCCAAUACAUGGCCUACUUUAAUCAAUUAUUGUGUAAUAUCAAAAAUCCUAUAUGGUCCUUUACUUAUUUAAGUCAUAAAUUGCUGGACAUAGUUAGUACAACUAAAUGAUUACAUUUCAAUCUCACAUUUAAAAUUUAUGAGAAAAUCUGAAAAGUUAUGUCUUUUGAUCUCUCAAAAUGUGUGUCUAUUGCUUAAAAAGUAUGUUUGUUAUCUUAAUAACUAUUAUAAACCGUUAUGUUUCAAAGUUAUGUCUGUUGGCUUGAUAACAUUAUGAAAUUUUAUAUAUCAAAUAAGUGUAUGUUAAUUUGAUAACUAUUAUAAACCCGUUUUUAUAAAUAUUUAUCUACCAUUUACUACUUAUUUCUCCUCGACACUCAAAAUAUUUUUUAUUUUAAUUAUAAGUAAAUUUCUAUAAUUAUUAUAUAGAAUUUCAUGGGUCAAUUCUGAGAAAAAUCUGCCAGACCGUGAGAACCUAAUUUCUUAAAGAAAAGUGAUUACAAGCAUAACAUAUAUUUUUAUUAUUUUUAUUAUUUGUUUUAACAUAAAUUUUUUUUAUUUAUUUACUUAAUUAAUAAAUAAAAAAUAUGACUUCUUUACCACGUUUGUUUUGGUUACUACACCUGUUUAAUAAUUUUCUGAAUCAAGUAUUUAAAAAAAAAAAAAUUAACCUGUCAUAUUUGAUUGAGUGAAAAUUAAAUAGAUUUUUUUUAUUAUAUCAACAAUAUCAAUUUAGGUAUCGACCAGAAUGAUUGGUUGAUUUGAACCAAAUUAAAAAAUAAAAAUGAAAAUCAUUAUUUUUCUCAAUUAAGUAAAAGAAUGUUCAUUUUUCAACAUAUUGAACAUCUGAGUAAAGUUUUCUUUUAUGAUAAAAAAUGAUAAGUACAUUUUACAAUUUUUUUUUUAGCAAGAGCUAGCUGAAUAAUAUGAUUAAAGUCUUUGGAUUAAACUAAGUUAUCUUGCCACGUGGUUAUUAAACUAAAUUAAUUUAUAUUUAUUUAUAGCUAUAAGUAAAUAUAUAAGGAUAAUUAAAAAUUAAUUAAAUCAUGGACGUUGAUACUGCACGAACCCAAUCCAACAGUUGCAGGCUAGAGAUUCACUUCAAAGAGAGCAACGACGUCAUUAGGGAGAGAAAUUCCCUGCUGCAACAACUAUCGAAAUCGAGUUUCUUUUACGUAUUAAUUAAAUACUGAAUUCUAACCCCAUUUUCCUCGUCUUCAGCAUCUAAUUAACCUUUUUUUUUUAUGUUAUGUUAAGCUUAUCACGUUAUUAAUAAAUUAAAUGAAUAUUCAGAAAAAAAAAAGGAUUAGCUGGGAUAAAUCCCGAUAAUCAACCUUUUCAAUAAUCAAUAUGAAUUAACAGUAGAUGAAAAAUGUUUAGUAAUAUCAAGUUUAUCGUUUCUCUUUUAGUAAUUUCAAAAACAUAAAUAAAAAAAUUAAACUCAAAUCAAAACUAUAAGAAUCAUUUGAUUCUUAAAUAAUCUGGUUGGAUUGUUCUCAUACACUUUUUUUCAAGUGUUUCAGCCAAUGACAUUUUAAGUAAACUGCAGAAUCCAAAAUAAAUAUAUUUAAAUAUAUAUGACACACCCAAAAGGCUCUUUAUUGAAUUGUGAUAAACAUAUCAAGAAUACAUUUAACAGAAAGUAUACUUGUUCAAUUAUUGGAAACAUAAACAUCGCAUAUAACUAAUCACAAAUAAUUUUUAUUUAAAUUGAGUUUAUAUAGACUCAUAAUAUAAAUAUAUAAGGUAUUUUAUUAUUUAUUUAUAUUAUGAGUUCACAUAAAUUUAGUUUAUAUAAAUAUUAUUUUAUGCGUUUGCAAAUAGUUUCUGCAGUUUUUCUACUGUAUAAUUAUCCAAUUGGAAGGCCUUAGCUAGAACAUCAGGAUUAAUGGGUGGAUUAGGCCCGAAGAUUGCAUUUGCUAUGGUGAUGACGCCUGGGUUUUGGCUGCUUAGACCAGCAAAGGCAACUGCAUUCGUCUUUGCAAUGUUAAACUGGAAGUGGAUGAGACCAAUUGGAAAUACAAAAACAUCUCCUGGGUAUAAGACUUUGGUGAACAAACGAUUGGGGUUGGAUGUGACAAAUCCAACAUAAAGGGUGCCCUCCACAACUACAAGGAUCUCUGUGGCACGAGGGUGAGUGUGGGGAGGGUUUAAGCCACCAUUGGGAGCAAAGUCUAACCGAGCGAGAGAAAUACCAAGAGUGUUAAGUCCUGGUAUUUUAUCAACG
rnacentral:lncRNA from 1 species